GACGAACGCUGGCGGCGUGCCUAAUACAUGCAAGUCGAACGCAGUGGGGACAGGUGAGUAACACGUGGGUAACCUCCCAUCAGAGGGGAUAACACUUGGCAACAGGUGCUAAACCGAUACUGAUUGAUGGACCCGCGGUGCAUUAGCGAGUUGGUGAGGUAACGGCUCACCAAGGCCACGAUGCAUAGCGGACGUGAGAGGGUGACCGGCCACACUGGGACUGAGACACGGCCCAGACUCCUACGGGAGGCAGCAGUAGGGAAGCUUCGGCAAUGGACGAAAGUCUGACCGAGCAACGCCGCGUGAGUGAAGAAGGUUUUCGGAUCGUAAAGCUCUGUUGUUAGAGAAGCGGUAUCUAACCAGAAAGCCACGGCUAACUACGUGCCAGCAGCCGCGGUAAUUC
rnacentral:rRNA from 1 species